GAGGAACCGGUGUGGUGAACUCCUGGCAUGCGCAGGUGACAAGAGGUUCCGCAGGAAUGAAUGGAGUCUCUACACAUCAAAUCGUGUGUCUUGACUACUCAGGAUGUCAAGGGCAAAGGUUAACUCCUGGGGGUUUUCUUUCUGUAUUAAGAUUCUCAAGAGAACAGAACCAGUGGUGGGUAAGUGAAUGGAUGGAUAGAUAGAUAGAUAGAUAGAUAGAUAGAUAGAUAGAUAGAUAAUAGAAAGAUAGAUGAUAGAUAGAUGAUAGAAAGAUAGAUAAAUAGAAGUUAGAAAGAUAGAUGAUAGAAGUUAGAAAGAUAGAUGAUAGAUAGAUAGAUGAUUGAUAGAUAAAUGAUAGAAGUUAGAUGACAAAUGAUAAAUGAUAGAUAGAAGAAAGAUAGAUAUAUAGAUUAUAGAUAGAUAUAAAGAUAGGUGAUAGAAGAUAAACAGAUAAAUAGAUGAAAGAUAGAUAAUAGAUAUAGAUGAUUGAUUGAAGAUAGAUAGAUAGAUAGAUAGAUAGAUAGAUAGAUAGAUAGAUAGAUAGAUAGAUAGAUGAAAGAGAUAUUUAUCAAUCUGCCAGCUGUAAGUUUAAGACCCAGGAAAACCAUCCCCUUACUUCAGUUCCUUCGGUAUCCAAGUUCCUUCCGAGACCCAGAAUCUCUGCUGAUGUAGCUCUAGGUCAGGGACUGAAGAAGAGAUAUUCCAGUCAAAUCAUGAAGCAAGAAAAA
rnacentral:lncRNA from 1 species